AAUGACGUCUGCCACUGGACAGGCACCACCGGUCACCAUGGCAGCCCAGCCAAUGAUGUCAUCUCACGGUGCGACGAGAAGUUCACAUUCAGGGGUCAAGCACGGCUGGGACAUUGUGAGGCGUGCCUUCCAUUCCACACACAGAGGUUCAUUUCAGCGGGGAACCCAUCGAUAUCACCUGACUCCCAGCCUCCAGCCUUCGCCUGCAGACCUAGGGCAGAUUUACAGCUAUGGCCGCUCUCCUGUGCUGCCCAAAAAGAGGAACGGCCUCUUCUCCAACCCCAUCAGGCCACAGUGCUGGACCACUGACACACUACCGCCCUCUGGUGGCUACCAGACCGUGCACAGGGACACUUUCCACAAAGAGGCCUCGUCAGGUCUCCUCCACUCCAUCUUAGUGAAGCCAGACUCUUACAAGUACAACAUAGACAAGCCUGUGAAAACAGUGCGGUUCGUAACAGAAGACACACCACAGCUGGUGUCAUGGACGACCUCCCUGACCUCUGAGAGGCAGAUGUAUUCUGGAUCCCAGUACAGCCCUCCGAUCAUGGAGCUGUGGAACCCCUCAGCCAUCCUGGGCAGAGAUGGGAACAGCUCCGUGCUCAAAGACAUCAAGGCCAACUCGGUGAAAAAGAGUGUCGGGCUGGAUCACGCUUAUGGAGAAGGCUCUUCUUUCAGUUUGAAGACAUCUGUUGGCCUAAACUCCCUGUCAAGUCCAAGCAGGCACAGAGUAGUUAUUGGCUACUCUGCCAAGACUGACGCAGAGAUGAACCUAUUUGAAGGGGAGAUGGUUCUGCUCCAGAGGCUUCGUCAGGAUGGACGGGUUCUGGUGACACAGGAAAGCACAGGGAAAACAGGCCUUUUUCAGGGCACAGUUCUGGGAUGCUUUGAGAAAUGUAUGUGACAUUGUUUAUACUAUAUAUAUAUAUACACUGCAUUUUUCCCGUGAGGAAACAAGGGUACUGCCAAAUGUCUAUCUUAUGAGCAUAUGUUCUGUCAAUGCACUUCUGAUGCAUUGCUGUUUGAUGAUGACCUGUUCUAAGGUAUAAAAAAAGCAAUAGCUAUGAGUUGUGAGUUUCAGUGCACUGAUCUGAAGCACGUUUUCAUAUUACACACAUUCACACAUUCACACAGACUCCUGGAUCUGACACUAUCCUCUGGGUUUAUUUUCCUAAGAAGCGUGCAACACCUACUGACAUGCCUGUGCCUUCAAGGUGGCUUUGCUAAUGAGAUUAAUGUAAAUGGAUAUGUUGACAGAAAUAGACUCCCAAAGGGUAAAAAACAAUACUGCAAAACUAAAAUGAAUAAAUAUAAAAGAAUGAAUGGAAAACAUGUUCCUUUAAAACUAGGCAGUGCUUUCCUGGCCUGUGUUGGUGUAGGCACAGAAGUGGUCCUUUCCUAUAGUGAAUCCAUCUGUUUUACUAGACCUUUUGUCUGACUGGAUUGGUCAGCCCUGGUCCAGCGUCUGUGAGUGUUGUGCCCACCUGUUGUGAAUGGUGAAAAUGUGCUCUUGUUUUCCAGCUUAUCAAACCUGUGCACUUGUAUUAAUGUAUGGAAGACGAUGUAAUAAAACAUGUGUUCAACCUUUUAGAGUUGUCAUUGCUUUUGUAGGCUAUACGCUAGAAUGCCAUUUAAUUUAAUCUCCUGAUGUAGCCUAGAUCAUC
ensembl:lncRNA